rnacentral:rRNA from 1 species
UACGUAGGGUGCAAGCGUUGUCCGGAAUUAUUGGGCGUAAAGAGCUCGUAGGCGGUUUGUUGCGUCGGCUGUGAAAUCCCGAGGCUCAACCUCGGGUCUGCAGUCGAUACGAGCAAACUAGAGUGUUGCAGGGGAGACUGGAAUUCCUGGUGUAGCGGUGAAAUGCGUAGAUAUCGGGAGGAACACCGGUGGCGAAGGCGGCGUUCUGGACUGCAACUGACACUGAUGAACGAAAGCCAGGGGAGCAAACGGG